UACGUAGGGGGCGAGCGUUAUCCGGAAUUAUUGGGCGUAAAGAGUGCGUAGGCGGUUUCUUAAGCGCGGGGUGAAAGGCAGUGGCUUAACCAUUGUUAGCCUUGCGAACUGGGAGACUUGAGUGCUGGAGAGGAAAGCGGAAUUCCUAGUGUAGCGGUGAAAUGCGUAGAUAUUAGGAGGAACACCAGUGGCGAAGGCGGCUUUCUGGACAGUAACUGACGCUGAGGCACGAAAGUGUGGGGAGCAAACA
rnacentral:rRNA from 1 species